rnacentral:rRNA from 1 species
AAAACGACUCUCGGCAACGGAUCUCUCGGCUCUCGCAUCGAUGAAGAACGUAGCGAAAUGCGAUACUUGGUGUGAAUUGCAGAAUCCCGUGAACCAUCGAGUCUUUGAACGCAAGUUGCGCCCGAAGCCGUCAGGCCGAGGGCACGCCUGCCUGGGCGUCACA